rnacentral:rRNA from 1 species
CCUACGGGGGGCAGCAGUGAGGAAUAUUGGUCAAUGGGCUUACGCCUGAACCAGCCAAGUCGCGUGAGGGAAGACUGCCCUAUGGGUUGUAAACCUCUUUUGUCAGGGAGCAACGCCGGCUACGUGUAGCCGGACUGAGAGUACCUGAAGAAAAAGCAUCGGCUAACUCCGUGCCAGCAGCCGCGGUAAUACGGGGGAUGCGAGCGUUAUCCGGAUUUAUUGGGUUUAAAGGGUGCGUAGGCGGAAUGCCAAGUCAGCGGUAAAAUCGCGGGGCUAAACCUCGCUCCGCGGUUGAAACUGGCGUUCUUGAGUGGGCGAGAGGUGUGCGGAAUGCGAGGUGUAGCGGUGAAAUGCGUAGAGAUCACGAAGAACUCCGAUUGCGAAGGCAGCAUACCGGCGCCAGACUGACGCUGAAGCACGAAAGCGUGGGUAUCGAACAGGAUUAGAUACCCUUGUAGUC